rnacentral:lncRNA from 1 species
CCUGGGGUCGACGACUUGCAGCAACAACCGACGCCCAGUGUGCACCGGUGGUUUCAUCAGGGACCUCGGCAGAGACGUGGUUUGAUCGACCCCAGAGGGCACAACGGUGCAACGCGCUCAAAUAGUGGAGAAGCGAUUGUGGGUGACGGUGUGGAACCGGUCCCUCGGACAAGGUACACUAAAGACUUGCAGCCUCUUCCGCUGGUGGGAGCCAGCCAGUGGAAAAAUACUGCUGGAAGUGACCAGGGUAUAAAUAUACACUGUUGCAGGGCUAGGGGCGCGGGAUUUGAGACAAUACAGUCUCCCUGCGCCUUUUACUUGAGCUCAAAUAAACUCUGUCUAUU